UACGGAGGGGACUAGCGUUGUUCGGAAUUACUGGGCGUAAAGCGCACGUAGGCGGAUUUGUAAGUCAGGGGUGAAAUCCCGGGGCUCAACCUCGGAACUGCCUUUGAUACUGCAAAUCUCGAGUCCGGAAGAGGUGAGUGGAAUUCCCGGUGUAGCAGUGAAAUGCGUAGAGAUCGGGAGGAACACCAGUGGCGAAGGCGGCCUUCUGGACCAAUACUGACGCUCAUGCACGAAAGCGUGGGGAGCAAACAGG
rnacentral:rRNA from 1 species